AGCAGUCGCCACGGUAAUACAGAGGCCUCAAGCGUUGUUCGGAUUCAUUGGGCGUAAAGGGAGCGUAGGCGGUCGGGUAAGUUGGAUGUGAAAUCCUGGGGCUCAACCUCAGAACUGCAUUCAACACUGCUUGGCUAGAGUAUUGGAGAGGUGAGUGGAAUUCACGGUGUAGCAGUGAAAUGCGUAGAUAUCGUGAGGAAGACCAGCGGCGAAGGCGGCUCACUGGACAAUUACUGACGCUGAUGCUCGAAGGCCAGGGGAGCAAACGGGAUUAGAUACCCCCGUAGUCCCUGUCUCUUAUAC
rnacentral:rRNA from 1 species